AAAGUCGUAACAAGGUUUCCGUAGGUGAACCUGCGGAAGGAUCAUUACACUCAGUAGAUCUCUACUGCUCAGGAAGAGCGGAAAGUUUCCAGCUUGCUGGUUUGCGAGUACGCUCUGUCUGAACCCUUGUCUUUUUGCGUACUCAUGUUUCCUCGGCGGGCUUGCCCGCCGGCUGGACAACCUAAUAACCUUUUUAAUAUUCAAUCAGCGUCUGAAUAAUUAUAAUAAUUACAACUUUCAACAACGGAUCUCUUGGUUCUG
rnacentral:misc_RNA from 1 species